CAGGGCCAGGGGGUUUUGGGUUGAGACUGGCCAUUGAUGCUUACAGAUGAGUCCUGGUACAAAAAAGGUUGAGAGCCACUGGUCUAGAGGUCC